GAUGAACGCUGGCGGCGUGCCUAAUACAUGCAAGUCGAGCGAAGCGGGGACGGGUGAGUAAUACGUGGAUAACCUCCUAUAAGACUGGGAUAACUUCGGGAAAACGGAUAUAAAUCGGAUACGUAUAGAUGGUUCCGCGCUGCAGGAGCUAGUGGGGACGGUAACGGCUUACCAAGGCAACGAUGCAUAGCCGACCUGAGAGGGUGAUCGGCCAACCGGGAGCGGGGACAGGCUCCAAAUUCCGACGGGAGGCACAGUUGGGGAUUCUUCCGCAAGGGGCGAAAGCCUAACAGGGCAAGCCGGCGUGAUGGAUGAGGGUCUUCGGAUCGUAAACUUCUGUUAUUGGGGAAGCGGUACCUAAUCAGAAAGCCACGGCUAACUACGUGCCAGCAGCCGCGGUAAUAC
rnacentral:rRNA from 1 species